rnacentral:rRNA from 1 species
GAUGAACGCUGGCGGCGUGCCUAAUACAUGCAAGUCGAGCGAACAGACGAGGAGCUUGCUCCUCUGACGUUAGCGGCGGACGGGUGAGUAACACGUGGAUAACCUACCUAUAAGACUGGGAUAACUUCGGGAAACCGGAGCUAAUACCGGAUAAUAUAUUGAACCGCAUGGUUCAAUAGUGAAAGACGGUUUUGCUGUCACUUAUAGAUGGAUCCGCGCCGCAUUAGCUAGUUGGUAAGUUAACGGCUUACCAAGGCAACGAUGCGUAACCGACCUGAGAGGGUGAGUGGCCGCACUGGAACUGAGACACGGUCCAGACGCCUACGGGAGGCAGCAGUAGGGAAUCUGCCGCAAUGGGCGAAAGCCUGACGGAGCAACGCCGCGUGAGUGAUGAAGGUCUUCGGAUCGUAAAACUCUGUUAUUAGGGAAGAACAAAUGUGUAAGUAACUAUGCACGUCUUGACGGUACCUAAUCAGAAAGCCACGGCUAACUACGUG